rnacentral:ncRNA from 1 species
AUAGUUAGAACUUUGGCAAUAUAGGGGAUCAGCGGCAGAUUAAGUAUCAAUAGCACAACGUUGCCAAUAUACAUCGAUAUAAUAACCGACCAGAAGAUAUCCGGCUGAUCGAUCAUCAGGCGCGGGCC